CGGACGGGUGAGUAACGCGUAAAGAGCUUGCCCUCUAGACUGGGACAACUGUUGGAAACGACAGCUAAUACCGGAUAUUAUGGGAACCUCGCAUGGGGAACUUAUGAAAGCUAUAUGCGCUAGAGGAGAGCUUUGCGUGCCAUUAGGUAGUUGGUAGGGUAAUGGCCUACCAAGCCGACGAUGGCUAGCCGGCCUGAGAGGGUGAUCGGCCACAAGGGGACUGAGACACGGCCCUU
rnacentral:rRNA from 1 species